CAGCAGCCGCGGUAAUACAGAGGGUGCGAGCGUUAAUCGGAUUUACUGGGCGUAAAGCGUGCGUAGGCGGCUUCUUAAGUCUGAUGUGAAAUCCCUGAGCUUAACUUAGGAAUUGCAUUCGAUACUGGGAAGCUAGAGUAUGGGAGAGGAUGGUAGAAUUCCAGGUGUAGCGGUGAAAUGCGUAGAGAUCUGGAGGAAUACCGAUGGCGAAGGCAGCCAUCUGGCCUAAUACUGACGCUGAGGUACGAAAGCAUGGGGAGCAAACAGGAUUAGAUACCCCAGUAGUCCCUGUCUCUUAUAC
rnacentral:rRNA from 1 species